GAACAAAAAUUCUAAAUAGCCUAGUAUUAAACAUAGGAUGAUUUCAAAAAUUAUCUCAAUCACGAGUAUAAUCUACUAUUUUGACGUGACAUAGGUGGUCGUUCAAAUAUUUUAUACUUUAAUGUUGAUAUUUAUUAUGACUUUUGGGUCCUUUUUGCGUCUUCCUCUUUGGUGAUGAUUCCUCAUUUUUUUAGUGAGGGUAGCAAGGGUUCUCUGUAACAUGAUGCUUCAGGGGGUUGGUAUUUGGGUUUGAUUUGUGGUCUCUUUCUUCCUAAUAAUCAAAAGCUAUCUUAUCUAUUCCUUAGCUCCCUAAGAUGCGGAUGAUAAACUUAUAUGGAAUUUUGAAAAGUUUGGAUGGUAUUCUAUCAAGAGCGGUUAUUGGUUUACUCUUGUUAUAAUAAGGGCUUGGGUCGUGCUUCUCCUUUUAGGAGAUUCUCGGGUUAGUGGAAAAAAGUUUGGACCUUGAAUAUCCCUCCAAAAGUUAGAUUGUUUGCUUGGCAAGUAUCCUCUAAUUGGAUUCCUACUAAAAUUAAUUUGGCUGCUCAUAGUUUCUUAAUUGAUGAUUUUUGUCCUCUUUGCUAGUUCCAUAAAGAGACUACUCAUCAUGCGUUGUGAAGGUUGGAAAUUCUGGACGCGAAGACAGUCUUUUGCGUGGCAAAAGCAGCUCUUCUGCAAAUGUAACUUCUAAUGACCAACAGGAUAAACAAUCAAUCAGCUAAAGAAAUUUAUUCGAGGAAGCAGCAAUAUGAAAGUAUAAGCAAUCGUGGCUCAAUUGAUAACCAUAGUGGAAAGGGUGUGGGCAUAUCUUCUACCCUAGAUGUUUCAGAUAAAUCAUUUGGCACCGAUAGCAUAUUGUACAACAAAACUAAAAUCAUCCCAGUCUUUGAAGAUUCACUGUAGAGCUUAAUGCUGAGAAGGUAAUUGUGCCAUCAAUUGUGGGCGAGUCUAUUCAGAAUUCUUCUACUUCAAUACUGGAUAAGCUUUUUAGCAGUGGAAUAGCGUUAAGAUGUUGCUGGCUCUUCUAGUUCCCUUGAGGUAUUUACAAUAUCUAAUGGCAUUCUUUGUAGCCAUUGUGUUUCCUCUGAUAUCUAAACUGUCUUCAAGUAUUUGGUUUUUAAACAAUUUCCAAAACAUCCACAGAUAUAGUUCGAAAUUGAAUUUUCCAUUUUAGUGCUAUAUACUAGUUUUCUUAGUUUAUAUUUCCAUUGAUUUGACGAAUCUUUUUAUUGGAUUAAUUACAAUUGAGAAUCCUAUUUUAA